GACGAACGCUGGCGGCGUGCUUAACACAUGCAAGUCGAACGGAAAGGCCCGGCUUUUGUGGGGUGCUCGAGUGGCGAACGGGUGAGUAACCCGUGAGUAACCUGCCCUUGACUUUGGGAUAACUUCAGGAAACUGGGGCUAAUACCGGAUAGGAGCUCCUGCUGCAUGGUGGGGGUUGGAAAGUUUCGGCGGUUGGGGAUGGACUCGCGGCUUAUCAGCUUGUUGGUGGGGUAGUGGCUUACCAAGGCUUUGACGGGUAGCCGGCCUGAGAGGGUGACCGGCCACAUUGGGACUGAGAUACGGCCCAGACUCCUACGGGAGGCAGCAGUGGGGAAUAUUGCACAAUGGGCGGAAGCCUGAUGCAGCAACGCCGCGUGCGGGAUGACGGCCUUCGGGUUGUAAACCGCUUUCGCCUGUGACGAAGCGUGAGUGACGGUAAUGGGUAAAGAAGCACCGGCUAACUACGUG
rnacentral:rRNA from 1 species